CCCAGACAGCCAGGAUGUUGGCUUAGAAGCAGCCAUCAUUUAAAGAAAGCGUAAUAGCUCACUGGUCGAGUCGGCCUGCGCGGAAGAUGUAACGGGGCUAAACCAUGCACCGAAGCUGCGGCAGCGACGCUCAGGCGUUGUUGGGUAGGGGAGCGUUCUGUAAGCCUGUGAAGGUGGCCUGUGAGGGUUGCUGGAGGUAUCAGAAGUGCGAAUGCUGACAUAAGUAACGAUAAAGCGGGUGAAAAGCCCGCUCGCCGGAAGACCAA
rnacentral:rRNA from 1 species